CCUACGGGAGGCAGCAGUCGAGAAUUAUUCACAAUGGGGGAAACCCUGAUGGUGCGACGCCGCGUGGGGGAAUGAAGGUCUUCGGAUUGUAAACCCCUGUCAUGUGGGAGCAAAUUAAAAAGAUCGUACCACAAGAGGAAGAGACGGCUAACUCUGUGCCAGCAGCCGCGGUAAUACAGAGGUCUCAAGCGUUGUUCGGAAUCACUGGGCGUAAAGCGUGCGUAGGCUGUUUCGUAAGUCGUGUGUGAAAGGCGCGGGCUCAACCCGCGGACGGCACAUGAUACUGCGAGACUAGAGUAAGGGAGGGGGAACCGGAAUUCUCGGUGUAGCAGUGAAAUGCGUAGAUAUCGAGAGGAACACUCGUGGCGAAGGCGGGUUCCUGGACAGUAACUGACGCUGAGGCACGAAGGCCAGGGGAGCGAAAGGGAUUAGAUACCCGAGUAGUC
rnacentral:rRNA from 1 species